GGCCGCGGGAAUUCGAUUGGAUCGCCCUUAGAGUUUGAUCAUGGCUCAGAAUGAACGCUGGCGGCGUGCUUAACACAUGCAAGUCGAACGAGAAAGGGAUUGCUUGCAAUCCUGAGUAGAGUGGCGCACGGGUGAGUAACACGUAGAUAAUCUACCCUCAAGCCCGGGAUAACCGUUCGAAAGGACGGCUAAUACCGGAUGCAGUUCAUUUACACAAGUGGAUGGAUGAAAGACUGCCUCUUCAUGAAAGCAGUUGUUUGGGGAUGAGUUUGCGUACCAUUAGCUUGUUGGUGGGGUAAGGGCCUACCAAGGCUGUGAUGGUUAGCUGGUCUGAGAGGAUGAUCAGUCACACUGGAACUGGAACACGGUCCAGACUCCUACGGGAGGCAGCAGUGAGGAAUUUUGCGCAAUGGGGGAAACCUUGACGCAGCAACGCCGCGUGAGUGAAGAAGGCCCUUGGGUCGUAAAGCUCUGUCAACCGGGAAGAAGUUAUGCAGCAUGAAUAGUGAUGCAUAUUGACGGUACCGGUGGAGGAAGCGCCGGCUAACUCCGUGCCAGCAGCCGCGGUAACACGGGGGGCGCAAGCGUUAUUCGGAAUUAUUGGGCGUAAAGGGCGCGUAGGCGGUUCUGUCGGUCAGAUGUGAAAUCCCGGGGCUCAACCCUGGAAGUGCAUUUGAAACAGCAGAACUUGAGUACGGGAGAGGAAAGCGGAAUUCCUGGUGUAGAGGUGAAAUUCGUAGAUAUCAGGAGGAACACCGAUGGCGAA
rnacentral:rRNA from 1 species